UACGUAGGGCGCAAGCGUUAUCCGGAAUUAUUGGGCGUAAAGAGCUCGUAGGCGGUUUGUCGCGUCUGCCGUGAAAGUCCGGGGCUCAACUCCGGAUCUGCAGUGGGUACGGGCAGACUAGAGUGUGGUAGGGGAGACUGGAAUUCCUGGUGUAGCGGUGGAAUGCGCAGAUAUCAGGAAGAACACCCGUGGCGAAGGCGGCUCUCUGGAACGCAACUGACGCUGAGACGCGAAAGCGUGGGGAGCAAACAGG
rnacentral:rRNA from 1 species